rnacentral:rRNA from 1 species
CACAGCUUNNGCACCCCUAACCCCCAAUAAUACGAAUAACCAAUCAAAACCCAUCAACACUACUGGGCCUAUCUAUAAACUCAUGGAUACGCUUAUGCUGGAAUGAGUAACAAGAAUUAAACCAUCUCCCAAUGUAAGUGCAACCCAGACCGAAUCAAUCACUGGCAAUUAACGGCCUCAAUGAGACAAAUGUAGCAACUCCACAAGAAAACCCUACAACCACCACCGUUAACCUAACACAAGAACAUACUAGGAAAGAUUAAAAAACAAGGAAGGAACUCGGCAAAUAUGAACCUCGCCUGUUUNCCAAAAACACCGCCUCUUGCAAACAAACAUAUAUAAGAGGUAUAGCCUGCCCAGUGACAAUUGUUCAACGGCCGCGGUAUU